CCACAGUUGCUUCUCGAAGGUCCACAUCUACAGUUUGGUGGCAGGCCUGCGUUCCCUGGAAAUGGCAUUCCAGAAAGGAGGGUGCAGCCCUGGCUAGGACGCUCUGUCAAUAGGAUCCUUUCCAGAGGAGUGGGGGAACUUGGCUGGAAGCCCAAGCCUGGUGCUCCACAAUUGAAUUCACUAACAAGCCCGAAGUAAACUAACCCUGACCCACCAGGUGUGUGAGAUGUGUGUGGAAACCUGCAGGUUGGGCUCCUAGCCCCAGCCAGGUGCAGCUUGGUUCAGAGACCCUGCCAGGGCUACAGGACACCUGCAGAAAUUCUACAAAAGGAAGUCAAGCCCAGGAGGAUGCCUGAAGAUGGGGAAAGCUAAAGAUAACCUUGGGGUUCUGAUCCUUCUGCCUGCACCUCAGGAGUACUGGGACCACACUAGCUACAAAUUAAACGAAAGCCUGGAUCCUCCCCUGUCCUUUCUGUCAUGAGAAGGCACGACAGAGGGAUACUUUUCAAUGAGCCACGACUCCAGAUCCUUAGGGUCCUGAGUGCUGGUCUUCCUGCUAGAGCUGUCACCAGCCAGUUCCUGCUACUGGCCCAAGAAACCAGAGGCAUAGUCUGGAGCUUGGACGUGUCCAGUCUGGAGCAGCCCAUCCCUGGUCAUCAAGCAAUAAAAGAAAUACGGGCAGUUUUCCCAGCAGAGGCUCCAAGGGCAACAGGGAGGUGACUGAAGCACCUGAACCAGGAAGCUAUGAGCAGUGACCUUUCUUAGAGCCCUGCUCUUGAGAGGGGAAUACCUUCCAUUCAGUGGACAUGGCCAGCUGUGCAGAGGUCCAGUCACCAGCAGUUCCAGUGGGGAACAUGCCAUGACUUGAUGUGAUUUGAGUACAACUUCCUGAUUCCCGUGUGAGAAGGUGGUUUGGCCCCCUUAAGAGACGCUGGGGGUGGGGGGUGCACGCCUAUGGGAGGCAGAGGCAGAGGCAGGUGGAUCCCUAUGGGUUCGUUUGAGGCCAGCCUGGUCUACAGAGCGAGUUCCAAGACAAGCUCCAAAGCAAUACAGAGAAACCCUGUCUUGAAAAUCCAAGAGAGAGAGCCUCAAAAGGCAUAUUGUGCACAUACAUACAGGCAAACCUCAUACACAUAAAAUAAAAGUGAAUCUUUUUUUUUAAAGGGGAGGAACCUUGUGAAAGACAAGUAGGUCUUUGAGAGUUCAGCCCUGGGAAGGCCAGAUACAGAGCUUCCAGAAUGAUUAAUUAGUCUUCCUGAGGUUUGAUACCAGGAGAGCUCUGCCCCUUUCUGUGCUCUGGCUUCUCUCCCUCCACUAGAUCUUCGUCUUGUGUGGGCUCCGUGAUGGGAUUCACCUCACUGUGAUAUAAUUGGCAUAAUCAGUGCAGAGACUUCACCAAAGCAUGGCCUGUCCUAUCAGUCUCCAGGAUGGUGGGAACAAACCCUUUUCUUCCAAAGUUCCUGGCUCUAGGACCCCGGAAGCCUUUCUAUUCCCAGGAUGCUACUUGUACCUGGGCCCCAGAUGGGUCCUCAUCAGAUGGAAGCCAGUGGAGUGAAGGAUUUCCUUUCACAUUGAAGGUGAUUGGUUUCCACUCAGCACUACCUCUGCCAGCCUUCCUGCCUUGCCUCCUACAUUGUUGGGGUGAGGACACACUCUGGGCUGAGUGGAGGGGUGUGCCGCCUGCCGCUUUCCUCAGCCUCACCCAUGAGGCUUUGGGGAAUAAAACUGAUUCCAGUCCAAGGUCUGAGAAAUUUGUCUUUUGUUGGGGGGAAGCCCAGAUGGAAUGUGGAGCUGGGAAAUAGAUCUGUUUGCUGGCUGUCCCAGCUCGCCUCUCGGCUCAUCUGUCACUGUUAGCUCAGAGCUCAUGAUUCUGC
ensembl:lncRNA